rnacentral:rRNA from 1 species
AACAAACGCUGGCGGCGUGCCUAAUACAUGCAAGUCGAACGGGUAGCAAUACCAGUGGCGCACGGGUGAGGAAUACAUAGAUAAUCUGCCUUCGAGUCGGGGAUAACCAGUCGAAAGAUUGGCUAAUACCGGAUAAGACCACAGGAGCUGAGGCUCUAGGGGUUAAAGGUUUUUCGCUUGAAGAUGAGUCUAUGCGAGAUUAGCUAGUUGGUGAGGUAAUGGCUCACCAAGGCGGCGAUCUCUAACUGGUCUUAGAGGAUGAUCAGUCACACUGGAACUGAGACACGGUCCAGACUCCUACGGGAGGCAGCAGUAGGGAAUAUUGCGCAAUGGGGGAAACCCUGACGCAGCGACGCCGCGUGAGUGAUGAAGGCCUUCGGGUCGUAAAGCUCUGUCGUAUGGGAAUAACACAAUGAAUGUACCAUGCAAGAAAGGAUCGGCUAACUUCGUGCCAGCAGCCGCAGUAACAC